GGCAACUCGUCCCUGAGACGCGGGGGGGGCCCAAGCCGCCUCGACACCGUCCCGUGAAACCAGCCCGGAGUUCGCGUCGCCACACUCUGCCGACUUUUGUUGGCCUUGCAAUCUCCUUCGGAAGGGAACGUUACUGCAGCCCCGCGAUGCUCCUGGCGCGGUGAGCUCUUCUGCGUUACACAGCUGCUCAGGUCCAGGUAUCGAACUCGUGUGGCCAGGUUAAUGGCACGAUCGAGGACACGUGUACGAGGUGUGGGUACCACUUCCUCCUACCUCUUCCAAG